rnacentral:lncRNA from 1 species
CGGCCGGGGGUCCGCACGCGCCGCGCCGGGCGGCCGGAGUCCGCACUUCCCUCCUGCCAAAGUUUUAAUGAACAUAUAGACACACCCGGACCUGGGUCACCCCCAGGGUCUGCUGGCCGCGCCCCACAGAUCUGGGGGUUCCCCUGGGAGAGAUGCACGCCCCGAUGGCGUCUUUGUCCCAACUCAGGGAAUCAGAACUUGGGGCCUGUCACUGCAGCAAGAGUCUGGUCAUGGCUGUGGAGACGCCAGUGCCCUAGGAAAAGAUGAGGCAUCGUCUGAGGAAUCGCCUUCAGAACCCGAGGCACAUCUGUUCAGACCUUCGAUGCUGACAGCUGUUUUUGAAGGUGAAUAUGGCGCUUGGAACCAUCCAGAAGUCAUCUGGAGUCCAGUGAAAAAGCCAGCCAUCAAGGUAAGAGAAACCAUUUUUGCUAAAGGGAAAUAGGAUACACUCCGAACUUCAGUGCCUGGAUCAGUCUGGUUUGCUUCUGUGACUUGAACACUGAAUGAGGC